GCUACAUUGACCCAGAGCCGUACAUCACCGCCUGCACAGACACUUUGUGUAAAUACCCGUCGGUGGACAAUAUGAAAUGUCAGUUUGUGGAGGCGUACGCCAAGUCCUGCAUCCUGAGAAACAACGUCACACUGGAGGGCUGGAGGGCACUGACUGGCUGCUUACAACUCAACAAACUCUUUAGGCGAGCCGACAGUCUGCAUGCAGAACUCUGCCUCUCUGACUCUGGCUGGAUGUCUGCUGGAGGACCAACACAUCGACUACUCCAUCUUACACCUCAAGGACCCGAGCUGCAAAGGUCAUAUGGACAACCAGAGCCACAUGGUGACUUUCAGCGUCGACAGCAGCAACACCUGCGGGACGGAGGUCACGAUGAACAACAGCCAAGUCAUCUACAAGAACUCCAUCACGAUGAACGGCUCUUUGAGCGGGAUCAUCACACGCCACGACCAAUUUCAGAUUGACUUCUCCUGCCUCUACAUACAACCUAACACCAAGAGUGUGUCCUUCAGGAUCACAGACAGGUGAG
rnacentral:lncRNA from 1 species